UGUCAUGUCCACAAGGCCCAGAGCAGAGAGCAGCCGCCACGCCACAGGAGCUAGGGGAAGCAGAGACGCCCCAGCCAUUCCCCACCUGCCUCUGGGGCAAGAAGAACCCAGAUGUGGAUGGCGACGAUGGAGCAUCUCAGACCAGUUUUUGUCCUCUUGGUGGUUGGGGUCUUCAUGGAAAGCCAACAGGGCCAGGGAUUCCCCCUCGGCAAGAGAGACCUCUUCCCCGUCACAGAGGCCGUGCUGGACUUGGCCCCCAGGGCCUUCGGACCA